UGUUUAUAUUAAGCUUUUAAACAGAAAGCUGGCUAAAUGCUAAUUGUGCUUCUCUGUGUAUUUAUUUUUUUAAACAAAAAAGCUAAAAAUACCUUAUGAGUGAAUGUUAUUCUAGUGGAUUUCUAUGUUUGUAUAGCAAGGAAAACAGUUUUGGGUUAUCUAGCCCCAUUUCAAAGCUAAAUACAUGAAAGCACAGAGAUGUUAGACAACCUCCUCAUGGUUGUACAGGUAACCAAUAGUCGAGGAAAUAAACUGGGAGUUGUGAACUUCUUCCCCACCCUCCUGCCCAGCUGGCGUUUUCACCAAUACACCACACUUAAAAAAUUGGUUGCAGUAGAGUAUCAUUAUGCUAAGAAUGUUCUAUUUAACUGACAAGAUGAUCAUUGUCAGUGAGAAAGCACUGCUGUUUCGAAACGUGUGAGGCUCACUACAUUUCCAAAUUUAAACAUACAGUUCUUGAAAAGGCAGUUGUUCUGGCUCCAGAGGAGUGAUUAUGUAGGCAGAACAGGACUAGUAUUUCUGCAAUUUCGUCCUUGAAGUAGCAGAUUUAAAAUGUUACUAAUUCAUACAUUUUAUAAAGCUGUAACAUUUUGGUAAACCCCUAACAGUACUGCUCCCUUUGAAGGAUAUCACCCCAACGUAAAGAUCCUAUCCAAGGAUUUGCACAGCUCUUUAGGAGUAAAUCUCAGUAACAAUACUUUUGUAGAAGGAUAUAGAUGAGCUGAGAGAAAGUCAGCCCCUGGGUUUUUAAAAUCUCCUCAAAGUUAUACUUCAAUUUAAUACUGGCAUGGAGUUUUACUUACCGGUAAUCUCUCCCUUUCCUUCCUGUAUGCACACAAUAACCACCCCCAACACAUACCUACAUGGCAACUGGAGUGGGACACGCUAGCAUACCAGAAUCUACCUGCAUGGACCAGCAAUUGUAAGCCAACUAGGGAAGGGGGAGAGCUGUUCCAACAAAUGUCACCAAUGUUUUCACAAAAGCUGAUGGAAGACCCCUCACUCACCAAAAAUUGUGCAGAAGGACAAGAAAGCUGAUACAUUAACUGAUUCUUUAUAAUGUAUGACAGGGGACCGCAAGCUCAAGUGUUUUUUCUUCUUUCUCAUAAGAAGCACUUCCUUCAGUUUGCCUCUUUAUGAUACAGGGUUUCUGCUGAAAUACUAAAAUACUUCUCUGACAUACAAAAAACGUGGCACUGCAGCUGGAAAUUUAAACCUUUUCCUGCCUCAGAAGUCAAUUUUUCACCCUUAAUUACUGACUAGAAGAUCCAGAAGAUAGCUAUCAAUCUUCAGCUAUACAGCUGUCUUCCAGAUAUCAGAAGUUUGUGACAAUCAUUCGAGGAAAAAAAAAUAGGGAAAGAAAAUCUCAACUUCCUUUGGGAGAAAUACCUUCAUGAACACGCCUGUCUGUAUUACACAAAAGUAGUUCACACUAGCAGUGUUUUUCAACAAUCAACCUUUUAGUCCCAAUGUCUGAAAAUAACAUAAUGAACUGGUUCACCCUCUAGAAGCAGGAUGGAAGAAAGGAAAUGUAUUUCAUAGCAGAGAAACAAUAACAACCAGAAGAACAACUGCAGCUGAGAUGACCUUCAAGGUUAAGAAGUAAUUUGUAAAUAUCUUAUUGGUGUAUUUAUUGAAAAUGGUGCCGCCUUUGGCCCUAGGCAAACACACAAACAUGUUACUGUGCUGAAAGCUAAGCAGCUAUUCCUGAGUACAAGCAUUUAAAAGGGCAUUCCAUGAUAAGGCUGCUGCUAGAAUAGAGGGUACACAGCUGCCUGGAGUAGACAUAUCUCUGAUCUCAGCUGGAGGAGGCGAGGCACAGGUGACUGCAGUUGUGUUGUCACAUCUACAUCAGGUGCCACAGGAACACAAGCUGUCCCAGAUGAUAGGGGGUAAACCUCAUCUAAUAAAUCCAAGUUGUUUUAAAAAGCUCCCUUAAAGUAAGCACUAAUAUUCAGUGGACAACAGGACUCCAGGCGACAGACCUCAAUCCCAGUCCUGCAGUCCUCAUUUUUUCAACUUGGAUCCAUAAACUACUUGCACUUCCUCCACUUUAUUAAAUGGAGUUAGAAAACUAAUAUUUAGAACAUUCUCCUAUGAGGAUUAUUGUUUGCAGUGAACUUUGAAGAUGAAAGAGACAAAUAAUCAUGAUGGUUUUUUUUGUGAACCAGCUUUAUCAGCAGCUGGAGUUACAGGGAUAAUACUGAAAAGCAAAUUCUUUUGCUAUUAGGAGAGUCUCAUGACUUGAAUGUUAAACUGCACCUAAAACUGGAGGUAUAUUUAAUUUUCAAUACAAUGAAAUGAGUAAUACUUUACAUUUAUGUAAAAUCUUUUACCCAGCAAUUUUAAGUUCCUCAUGAACAAUGACUAACAAAUCAUGACUAUCCAUCUAAAUAUAUACUUUACUUACUCUGGAAGAGUAGGGACUAAAUUAAUGUCUUUGGACUGCCAGUUGUGAGCAUCAACCACAGAUCAGUUCAAAACUAAUCCAUCAUCCAAAAGAUCUACUUUUAACUAACUUCUUAGCAUUAUGCCCCACAAUAUUACAAUACCUGUCUCAAGUAAAACAGAUAUUGGAUCCAAAUUGUUCCAAACCCCAAAUACCACUAAUGAAAAUGUGAAUAUACACAUAGAAUGAAUGUAGACACACUACAUGGAAUUACCACCACACUUCACAAUUUUUUAUUUUCUGGGAACAAUACUGAUUAAAGAGAGUUUUCAUGCAAUCUUUUAAGGCACUGCUUGACUUUGCUAGCAAGUUCUUAUCCUACAAAUGUUAACAAUGGGCUUAGCUUUCUUGCUACAAAGAUUGGGCUAUGAACACAAAAGUGUAACACUGAAGAGCUUGUUUAUAUUAGAUUAAAAACAAUGGUGAAAACA